rnacentral:rRNA from 1 species
UACGAAGGGGGCUAGCGUUGCUCGGAAUUACUGGGCGUAAAGGGCGCGUAGGCGGCGCAUUUAGUCAGGCGUGAAAUUCCCGGGCUCAACCUGGGGGCUGCACUUGAUACGUAGGAACUGGAGUGGGGAAGAGGGUCGUGGAAUUCCCAGUGUAGAGGUGAAAUUCGUAGAUAUUGGGAAGAACACCGGUGGCGAAGGCGGCGACCUGGUCCUUGACUGACGCUGAGGCGCGAAAGCGUGGGGAGCAAACAGG